rnacentral:rRNA from 1 species
UACGUAGGGUGCAAGCGUUGUCCGGAAUUAUUGGGCGUAAAGAGCUCGUAGGCGGUUUGUCGCGUCUGCUGUGAAAUCCCGAGGCUCAACCUCGGGUCUGCAGUCGAUACGAGCAAACUAGAGUGUUGCAGGGGAGACUGGAAUUCCUGGUGUAGCGGUGAAAUGCGCAGAUAUCAGAAGGAACACCAGUGGCGAAGGCGGCUCACUGGCCCGGUACUGACGCUGAGGAGCGAAAGCGUGGGGAGCGAACAGG